UACCAGCUCUCCGAGUGGUGUGGAUGUUUAUUGGGCCUAAAGCAUCCGUAGCUGGCUGGGCAAGUCCCCUGUUAAAUCCACUGAUUUAAUCAUUGGAGUGCGGGGGAUACUGCUCGGCUAGGGGACGGGAGAGGCAGACGGUAUUUUCGGGGUAGGGGUGAAAUCCUAUAAUCCCGGGAAGACCACCAGUGGCGAAGGCUGUCUGCUAGAACGCGCCCGACGGUGAGGGAUGAAAGCUGGGGGAGCGAACCGGAUUAGAUACCCGGGUAGUCCCAGCUGUAAACGAUGCAGGCUAGGUGUUUGGGCGGCCACGUGCCGCUCUAGUGCCGCAGGGAAGCCGUUAAGCCUGCCGCCUGGGGAGUACGGCCGCAAGGCUGAAACUUAAAGGAUUGGCGGGGAGCACAGCAACGGGAGGAGCGUGCGGUUU
rnacentral:rRNA from 1 species